CCUGCCCAGUGAACUAAUUUAACGGCCGCGGUAUCUUGACCGUGCAAAGGUAGCAUAAUCAAUUGUUCUUUAAAUAAGGACUAGUAUGAACGGCACCACGAGGGUUUAACUGUCUCCCUAUUUUAAUCAAUGAAAUUGAUCUCCCCGUGAAGAAGCGGGGAUACAACUAUAAGACGAAAAGACCCCAUGGAGCUUUAAACUUAUUUUCAAUUACCAAAGCCCAAAACAUAUACCCGGUAAAAAUGAUAAUCGUUUUCGGUUGGGGCGACCCUGGAGAAAAAUAAAUCCUCCAAGCUGAAUAGACUAAAAAUCUAAUAUUAGAGCAACAACUCAAAUAAUCAAAACCUUGACAAAAUGACCCAGAAUUCAUCUGAUCAACGAACCAAGUUACCCUGGGGAUAACAGCGCAAUCCAUUUCAAGAGCCCUUAUCGACAAAUGGGUUUACGACCUCGAUGUUGGAUCGGGAUAUCCUAGCAG
rnacentral:rRNA from 1 species